rnacentral:rRNA from 1 species
GGGCCCGCACAAGCGGUGGAGCAUGUGGUUUAAUUCGAUGAUACGCGAGGAACCUUACCAGGGCUUAAAUGUGGUUUGACAGCUUUAGAGAUAGAGUUUUCUUCGGACAAAUCACAAGGUGCUGCAUGGUUGUCGUCAGCUCGUGCCGUGAGGUGUCAGGUUAAGUCCUAUAACGAGCGCAACCCCUGUUGUUAGUUGCCAGCGAGUAAUGUCGGGAACUCUAGCAAGACUGCCGGUGCAAACCGUGAGGAAGGUGGGGAUGACGUCAAAUCAUCACGGCCCUUACGUCCUGGGCUACACACGUGCUACAAUGGUAGGGACAGAGAGCAGCCACUUCGUGAGAAGGAGCGAAAUCUAUAAACCCUAUCACAGUUCGGAUCGGGGUCUGCAACUCGACCCCGUGAAGCUGGAAUCGCUAGUAAUCG